GUGCGGCGUCUUUCUGAACUCUCCUAGCCAUCCGAGCUUCCACAGUACCAUCCAAACUCCUCUAGUAGUCGACCUUCCACAGUGUCCUCCAGAUUCCUCCAACGGACGAACUCCUAUCAUAUCCUUCAGACUUUUCCAAUAAUGAGCUCCUUCAAUCAUCUAUCGGACUACUCCAAAUGCUCUCUGGGCUUCACUAUCAGUCGAUUUUCUACAAGUGAUCGACUACUCUCUGAAUCUCUUUCAGUCUUCCUCCUGUC
rnacentral:lncRNA from 1 species